rnacentral:rRNA from 1 species
AGUGAACGCUGGCGGCAGGCCUAACACAUGCAAGUCGAACGGCAGCACAGUGGUAGCAAUACCAUGGGUGGCGAGUGGCGGACGGGUGAGGAAUACAUCGGAAUCUACCUUUUCGUGGGGGAUAACGUAGGGAAACUUACGCUAAUACCGCAUACGACCUUAGGGUGAAAGCGGAGGACCUUCGGGCUUCGCGCGGAUAGAUGAGCCGAUGUCGGAUUAGCUAGUUGGCGGGGUAAAGGCCCACCAAGGCGACGAUCCGUAGCUGGUCUGAGAGGAUGAUCAGCCACACUGGAACUGAGACACGGUCCAGACUCCUACGGGAGGCAGCAGUGGGGAAUAUUGGACAAUGGGCGCAAGCCUGAUCCAGCCAUGCCGCGUGGGUGAAGAAGGCCUUCGGGUUGUAAAGCCCUUUUGUUGGGAAAGAAAAGCAGUCGGUUAAUACCCG